UUUAUUUAUUUGAGAGAGAGAAUGAGAGAGAGAGAGAGAGCAUGAGAAGGGGGAGGGUCAGAGGGAGAAGCAGACUCCCUGCCGAGCAGGGAGCCCGAUGCGGGACUCGAUGCGGGACUCGAUGCGGGACUCGAUGCGGGACUCGAUCCCGGGACUCGAUCCCGGGACUCCAGGAUCAUGACCUGAGCCGAAGGCAGUGGCUUAACCAACUGAGCCACCCAGGCACCCCGGGAGAAAGAGAAUCUUAAGCAGGCUCCAUGCCCAGCAUGGAGCUCGAUGCCGGACUGGAUCUCACAACCCUGAGAUCAUGACCUGAGCUGAAAUCAAGAGUCAGACGCCCAAGUGACUGAGCCACCCAGAUGCCCCUAUGGUCUUGCUUUAAAAAAAAAAAAUCCAAUUUGACAAUUAUUAUCUUUGUAGUAUUUAGUAUAUUUACAUUUAAAUUAUGAUUAAGGUCUGCUUUUUGCUAUUUGUUUUCUAUUAGUCUCAUUUGGUUUUUGUGUCUCAGUUUCUCUCUUGAUUUCUUUUGGGUUAACAUUUCUUAUUAUUCCAUUUUGGCUCCUCUAUUCACUUUUAGGUUGUAUCGCUCUACAGUAUUUUUUAGUGGUUUCUCCAGGAAUUAUGAAAUACAUCUUUAUCAGUCUACUUAGAGUUAAUAUUAUACUACUUUCAUUACAACUGUAUAGUUCCAUUUACCAACCCGUUUUUUUGUGCUUUUAAUGUUACAAAUCUCACAAUACAGCAUUAUAAUUUUUGUUUUAAACAAGCACAGCUUUUAGAAAAAUUAAGAUAAUAAAAUAGAAUUUUACAUACUUAUCUACACAUUUGCCAUUAAUGGUGAUCAUUUCCAGUCUAUAGAUCUGAUGCACAAAAUUUGUGAUAUCUCUUAUAAGCUCCAGAUUGAAACAUCCCAUUAUUUGACAUCUUUAUCUAGAUGUUAUCCCAAAGUUAAGAUAUUCAAAACCAAACUCUCUGUUCCACCUCAAAGCAUCUAUUUUCUCACUAGCCUUCUCCAUUGUGGAAACUCACAUUUUCUCCUUUCAGAAGCCAGAAAACUCUAAAGCAUUGAUUCCUCAUAUUAUUUUUCUUACUUGCUGUCCUUUUUGUUCUUCUUUAAAAAGGGUGUUGUUAAAAAGGAAGACUUUCUAUUCCAUUUUUCUUCCUUCCUUAUACCUUAACUUGAACAUGAAUAAUUUGCCCGUGUGAGUGAUCUGUAUGGCAGCACAAUAAAGACCAUGUAUAUUAUUGUUUCACAUUAACUUUAUAUCUAGCCACAGUCUUAAAUUCCUCUUAUACUAUGUACAAUAAAUUGUCCCUAACUGAAAUCAAGAGCAUUAUGUGUGGUGUCAGUGCAAAUCCUGAAAGCCUUAGGGCACACAAGUCUGAUUCUAGCCAGGUAGCUUUACCUCCACAGUCAAGGAUAUUUCUGUUGACUGUGCUCUUUAUGUUGACAACUAAAGUUUGUUGAAAUUUCUAAGAAGCAGAUGUUACUUUGUAUUUAUUUUGAUGCCACAGGAAUUUUACUGAGGUGAUUCCUGUGAUGUUUAGAUUUCAUUAUUUAAAAAGGGAGGUGAUAACUUCUUGGCCAUUCUUACAGCCUCUCUUCCUCCUGUUUUAAAAGCACCACUCACAAAAUUUCUUAUUGGUUAAUAAAAUAAUAUCAAAGUAUAAUAUAAAAGUCCAUUGAGAAAAAAGUCUAAACAGUGGGCAAACAUGUGGAGGAACCAGUGAAAAUCUUCCCUCCUGUGUCAGCCCACUCCCACUUACCCUCCUCGUCCCCAGGGCUAAGUAGUAGGAACAAUUUGCUGUCUACCCUUUAGGUGUUCUCCUAUGCAUAUAAAACUUACGGACAUACAAACACAUGUGCAUGUUGUGUAUAACAUUUAUUUUUUUAUAGAUAUAUUUAUUUAGUUUUGAGAGAGACAGAGAGAGAGCAAGCUGGGGGGAGCAGAGGGAGACAAGAUCCUCAAGCAGACUCCCUGCUCAGUGUGGAGCCUGACCUAGGGCUCAAUCCCAUGACCCUGAGAUCAUGACCUGAGCUGAAGUCAAGAGCUGGAUGCUUAACCGACUGAGCCACCCAUAACAUACUUAAAAAAAAAAAAAGAAAAAAGAAAAAGGAAUCAUACUAUACACUUUGUUCUGCAACUUGCUUUUUCCAACUUUUUUCCAAGUUAUCAUUUGGAAUUAGAGAUUCACAGAAAGUUGCCAAAAAAAAAAAAAGUACUAAGGGGCCCUGUGUAUCCUUCACUCUGUUUCCCCCAGUGGUAGUAUCUUAUAUAACUAUAGUACAUUAUCAAACCAGGAAAGCAACACUGGUACAACCUAGAGCUUACUCCAAUUUCACGGUUUUACACACACUCACUUGUGAGUGUGUAUAGUUUCCUAUGCAAUUUUGUCACAUGUGGAAUUGUGUAACCCCCACAAUCAAGGUACAGAACUGUGCCAUCACCACAGGGCUCUCUCAUGCUCUCCCUUUAUAACUCCAUUCUCUACUUCCCAACCCCUGACAACCUUACUCAUCUAUUCUUCACUUCUAUAAGCUUGUUAUUUCAAGAGUGUUAUAUAAACGGAAUUAUGUUGGCUUGUUUCACUCAGAGUAAUUCCUUGAGAUCUACUGGAGUUGUUGCAUGUAUUGAUAGUCUGAACUUGCUUUUUUUACUCAGCAAUGUAUCAUGGACCUUCCCUGUCAGUCUAUAUAGAUACUUCUUUUUACUUAAAAAAAAAUGCACAGUAUUGCAGAGGGUGGAUAUAUCCAUUAAGUAUUUAAUAUCUUUUAUUAUGGCUAAUUAGCUGUUUCGAUGCUGUCAUGUGUAUCUGUGUACAGACGACUCACACAGCUGCAUACUUCUCAGGCACAGUUCCCACCACCGGAACUCCUGCAUCAAUGCCUGGCAUUGGUACUGGAAAAUAACCUUCCAGUCAUAAGCACAGAGCCCUACCUUGGUUUGGAGUCAUGGGGAAGUGUGAUGGAAGCACGCUACUGGAUUGGAAAUCCUGGAUGAAAAGAAUUACCUUACUGGAGAAUGGGCUGAGAGGUGACAUUCUUGCUUGAAGAACAACAGGUGUCACCGACAAAAAAAACUGAAGAAUACUGCUUAAAGAGAACAAUGGGUUUCCCAUGAAGCACUCUUCUCUCAUAACUAAGUGGCUGGGCAAGAAACGAAGCAGGCUUGGAACUGUGCCAAAUUAAAAGUGUUCAAGCUCCCAUCUAAAGCAGUCGACUACUACUCAGUUUCAACUGAAGGAUGCCAGAGAGGAAAAUGGGCCCACUGUUACCAGAUUUAUCAAUUUUUGAAAAGAAAUCAACUUUUCUAUGUGAAAUCUCUUCCUUUUUAGUUGGCAUAGUUCGUAAGGGCUAGACUUUGCAUGUAAGCUGCCUUUUAUCAUCGAUGAGUAAAGGCUCCAAGCCCAGCAUGGAGCGCAAAGCAGGGCUUGAACUGAUGACCCUGAGAUCAAGACCUGAGCUGAGAUCAAGAGUCAGACCCUGAGAUCAAGAGUUGGAUGCUUAACUGAGCCACCCAGGUGCCCCUCACUUUUCAUCUGGUGCCCUAAAAAAAAAUUUUUUUUUAAAUCAUGGCAUGUAUUACUUUUGUUAUUUCAACAAAAAUAUCUUUAAGAUGAAGGGAAUGUAUAUAAAUAUCCACCUAAAAGAAUAAGCUAUAGUUUACUGAGGGUGUGUUCUAUAACACCUCACCUGGGUUGGACAUGAGGGAAAUAAAACCAUACAACAUAGAAAAAGUAAAGCUAUAAAGGACAGUAGAAAUCUCCUAGUUGAUAUCUCCAUUCUACAGAUGAAAAACACCCUAAUAUCAAGAGAAAGUAAUUUGCCCAAAGCUAUAUAUAGCUGAAUUAGUGGUAAGAUGAGGAUCAGGAGUAUCUUAUAUUCUUUUUCCUCUAUACUUCCACUCAAAAUUCUGAGAUGAGAAUUUUGCCCUGAGAUGAGACCAAACUGAACAGACCUUUGAGGAAGACUUUUGUAGGAUCCUGAUGACGGAGUAGACAGAAGAACUGAGGAAAAAGGAGCCAUUGGCAAACUUCAGUUUCUUGUCUUGGGUGCUGAAAUGAACAAGGCUGCCAACGGCAGAAAUAAGCUCAGUCUGGGGGAAGCAGGGAGAGUGGGGCAGGAUGUUUUUCAUUUAUUCAUUCUCUCAUUCAUUCAACAAAAUUUAGAGUUUCUACCAUGUGACAAAUAUUGCUUGAUGGUAUUAAAUUUUGAACUGAUGAAUCCAGUUUUAUUUGGGUUUGUAGGUUUGGAUAAUAGGUCACUCAAGGACAGCUAUUCUGGUGGGAGCCAGGAAGGUGAUGAAGUAGGAGGACUCUAAGCUCACCCAGUCCCAUGGAUACACGUAGAAAACAGACAUAUCAGUGCAACUAACCUAGAAAAUGACCAAGCUGGAGAUGCUGAAUGGGUAGACACAUGCCAAGAGGGAUGAAUCCUUGAAUAAUGGCUACAGGGUGCUCUGGGGGAGAGGUCUGCAGGUUCUUCCCUCUGAAACAUCAGGAAGAAUGCUGCAGCCCUCGUGCAGCUAGACUGUAGGCUUCUAGAUAAGUGAUCCUGGUGUGCAGCUGCAACUCCACCCCUUUGCCUCACAUACAAGAAAGGGUCUGGAAUGCAAAUGAGCGCUAGUGUGACAAUAUCCUUGAAUCUGUUUUUUUUUUUUUUAAAGAUUUAUUUAUUCAUUUGAGAGAGCGAGAAUGAGAGAGAAUACAUGAGAGGGGGGAGGGUCAGAGGGAGAAGCAGACUCCCCGCCGAGCAGGGAGCCCGAUGCGGGACUUGAUGCGGGACUUGAUCCAGGGACUCCAGGAUCAUGACCUGAGCCGAAGGCAGUUGCUUAACCAACUGAGCCACCCAGGCGCCCUCCUUGAAUCUGUUUUAAUUCAUAUUCAGAAAAGUGAACUCAUUCCUGAAAACUACUAAAGAAAACAAACUGAGACACAAUAAACUAAUAAUCACAAUAUCCUAGUGUCAGAAUUCCAGAGGUGAAAACAAAAGCCGAAGGAACAGUAUGAAAAGAAUAAGGGCAAGGCACCCUUGUGAGGUUAAGAAAAAUUAAAAAAAAUUUAGGAGGAAGAAUAAUCAUUCAAGGAUUAAGAAACAGAACUAGAACAGAAAAGCACAAAGAAGAAAGCUUUUCAAGAAACCAGAAUGACAAAAGUCACUGAACUUGGGUAGGGAUAAUGGAAGCCAGUUGUCUGGUAUUAGCUGGGAAGGAAAAGAGGACUUGGGUGCAGACAACUUAUAAGAGAAUCUAACUCAAAGGGAAGAGAAAAUAUAAUGGCGGUUAGAACAGCAUCUGAACCAAACUGUUGUUGUUUUUGAGAGAGAUAUACUUUGACAUAUACCUGAGAGCAAAGGGAAAAAACUGGCUGUGAUUUUUUAAGUGGAGACGCAAGUGUUAUAGGAGCAAACUGGGGGAGAAGAGAAGAAAAAGGUCAGUAAUCUUCAUGCAAAUAUAACAAAGGACAAGGGGCGCCUGGGUGGCACAGUCAGGUAGGCUUCCGAUUCUUGGUUUCAACCCUGAUCUCAGGGUUGUGGGAUAGAACCCCGUGUCAGGCUCCACGCUCAGCUCAGUCUGUUAAAGUCUCUCUCUCCCUCUAACCCCCACCCCCGCACUCUUUCUCUCUCAAAUAAAUAAAUAAGUCUUAAAAAAAAAACAAAAAAAGGAUGAGAACACACAUACCAAGAGGAAACUGAUAUGCUCUGGAAAAGCCAGUUUGUAAAGGUGCACUGGCAGCAGGGACUCUGUCACCAGUUAGGUCAGAUGCUAGCUCUCCCACUUACUAGCUUGUGACCUUGCGUCAGUAACUUACUUUCCAUGAGCCGCAAUUGCCUCUUCUGUACGUGCAAAUAAUACCAAGUGUAAAGGACUAUUGUGCAGAUUAAAUAUAAAUCUCCUGGAACAUAUCAGAUUCUCAAUAAAGCAGGUGUUACUAGGAUGAUAAUAAUAAUUACUAUUUCGGGGCGCCUGGGUGGCUCAGUCGGUUAAGUGUCUGCCUUCAGCUCAGGUCAUGAUCCCGGGGUGCUAGGAUCGAGUCCCACAUUGGGCUCCCUGCUCUGUGGGGAACCUGCUUCUCCCUCUGCCUGCCACUCCCCCUGCUUGUGCUCUCUCUCUCUGUCAAAUAAAUAAAUAAAAUCUUUAAAAAAAUUAUUUCUGAUAAAAUACAAAGUCAGACUAUGAUGGGGAAAAUCAGUGAAAGAGAGAAAACUAGGGAGAUUUAAAAGUGCAUAAACAGUGCUCAUUUUGACAGCACAUAUACUAAAACUGGCACAAUACAGAUAAGAUUAACAUGGCCUCUGCGUGAGAAUGACAUUCAAAAAGUGAAUAAACAGCCAAUAAGGAGAAUACCCAGGAAGAGGUUCAUUCAACAAAUAUCUACUGAGGGCCUAUUUAAUCAAGACACUUUGUUAGAGACCAUGGGAAAAAUUCCUGACUGCCAGAGUCUUAGAAUAAGGUCGAGUAAGUGACAUAAACAGAAAUAACUAUGAGGCAGUGAUUUGUGACCUACAAGGUAAGAAUUUGAGAAGUUCAGAGAAGACUUUAAAAAUCACUUCUUGGGGCGCCUGGGUGGCUCAGUCAGUUAAAGUGACUGACUCCUGAUUUUGGCUCAGGUCAUGAGCUCAGGGUCCUGGGAUGGAGCCUCAUGUCAGGCUUCCCCCUCAGUGGGGAGUCUGCUUGUCUCCCUCUCCCUUUGCCCCUCCCCCCCAACCGUAUGCAUGCACGCAUGCUCCCGCGCGCUCUCUCUCUCUCAAGUAAAUAAAUCAAUCUUUAAAAAAAUAUUGCAAUUUUAGUAUAUGUGCUGCCGAAGCGAGCACAAUAAAUCUUUAAAAAAAUAAAAAUCACUUCUUGCUCAAGUGAAUAGAAAUGGGUGAAAAGAAGCAGACAUUGAAUUAAAACUUUAAACUGGAUUUAGAGAGGAAAAAAUAAUUGUUCUAAGCAGAGAAAAAGAAUAAAAAAGGUGGGGAAAGACAAGAGUGCUUUUAGCACAGAGGUGAUGCAAGGAAACAGUGUGGGACAAAGCUAGAGAGAGAUGUCAAUUGGAUCCACACUGUGGAGGGAGAAGGUCUAGAAAGACCCAUUUUGUUUCCUGAAUAGCUAAUAAUCUCUCCACAUGGUUCAAAAAAGCCCAAAAAGGAACUGGGUGAAAAGCCCCCCACCUCUCCUCCGUGUGGAGGCAGCUCCAUCACUUUCACUCGUCUCUGCUCUAUGAAAAGUCUACUUUCUAUAAUAUGUAUUUCUGUAAUUUUGUUUUUUAAAGAAUGAAUGCAUAUUAUUUCUAUAAUAAGAAAAAAGAUAAAAACUCCCAAAGUUUGGAAUUCUAAGCAAUAGAAUUGCAGUAUAAAAUGGUGCUCAAGAGCAGGGACUCUGCCUGUAGUCAGAAGGUAAGUUAUAAAUCCCAGAUCUUAUUACUCGGGGACUUUGGACACCUACUUUGUGCCUCAUUUCUUCAUCUCUAAAAUGAAGACAAGUGCAGCACCUCCCUCAGAGUUGUUCUGAGGAUUAAAUAAUCACUAGUAAAGUAUUUAGCAUAAUUCUGGUAUAAUAUUGAAUAGAUGAAGGGUAUUAUUCAGAGUAGAGGAAAGCCUUAGUGUAAAGAUGUUACAUCAGUGGCUAUUAACUCUUCAGGCCACACAUACUGCUCUGAAAAUCAGAUUAUCUUGGUAUGAAUGGGGUAUUUUGAACACUACAUGUACCCACAACUUUGCAUACCAUCUCAGAAUUCAUAAAUUCUCUGAAGUCUUGGACUUUGGGUUAAGAACAUCUAAUCUACAGAACUGUAAGUAGAAAUAAUUAUUAUAAAUCAGACUUUUCAUAAUUGAAUAUAAAAAAGGAUUAUUUUAUAUUAGCUAACCAUUUACUGAAAAUUUAUUAUUAAUACCAAGAUCUACACUAAAUGUAUAUAUCUCAUUCAUGUAUCUCAUUUAAUAUUUCCACUAACCCAAAGAUGUAGAUAUUCUUAUCUUCAUUUUAAAAUAAGGAAACAAAGGGGCACCUGGGGGCCUCAGUCGGUUAGGCAUCUGACUCUUGAUUUUGGCUUAGGUUAUGAUUUCAGGGUUGUGAGAUUGAGCCCACACUAGGCUCCACACCAGGCAUGGAGACUGCUUAAGAUUCUCUCUAUUGCUCUCCGUCUGCCCCCCACCACUUGCACACUCUCUCUCAAAAAACAAAACAAAACCAAAAAACCAAUAAAAUAAAAAAUAAAAUAAGGAAACAAGAACUUAGAAAGUUAGUGACUUUCACUACCCUAGUACUGGAAAAGCUUGGGUCUGGUUUGAAAUUCAUGUUUUUGUUAUGUACAGCAAUAUAUUAGUCAUGCAAAAAGAAUAGUAUUAAAUGCAUGAAAAAUUUAAGUCAGCCAAAUAUCCCCUCCUAAAAUCUUGUACAAACUUAGUUACAUUCCUUAGCCACGACUUGCACAUAACUAUACAAAGGUAAAGCUCCUCUUAUUUCCCCUCGGAGCUGAACAGCAUAGUGGGUUCUAGAGCCAGAGCACCCAGAUUUAAAUCCAUUUUUCUACAUAUGGCUUCAAACAAGUUAUAAACCUCUCUGUGUCUCAGUCUCCUCAUCUGUAAAAUGAAGACAAUAGUAUCUACCUCAAAGGGCUGCUGUGAAGUUUAAAUGAGUGUGUGUAAAGUACAGAAUAAUUGUUAGCUAUUAUAUUAUCCUGUAUUUGAACAAAACUCAUGAGGUAUAUAAUAUAGAACUUAAAACCAUUUCCUAUACUUAAGUGACUACACUGGCCACUCAUAAAUUCAUUCGUAUUGUAAGACUGUCACCCUGAGAAAAGGAAGGUGCCGCAGGAGUCACCUAUGUCAAUAGGCAGUGGGAGAGUAGAAAUACCAACAUCUUUGUAACCAGACAAACCUGAGUUCAAAUUUUGGCUCUUUUGAGUAUUGGGUUUAAAACUUGACAGGAUUCUUCCCCUUUGUGUCUUUUACUCCUCUCCAUUCUAAG